AGUCGUAACAAGGUUUCCGUAGGUGAACCUGCGGAAGGAUCAUUCACAAACGAUUCUAAUAUCGACCCAUUUGUGUGAACCAACCCUUUAUAUAUAUACAUACAUUCUGAGCCUCUGUAGUGUUAAAAUUACGAGCUCUGAAGAAUGUUUUAAACCCAUUGUGAACCAAGUCAGUUCUGACCGAAUGAACGUUAGUCGUUUGGUCUGGUUGACGCUCUCUCAGGUUGCUGAGGGGGAGUCGUCCAGUUAAACAUAACAACUUAAUGACAACUUUAAACGGUGGAUCUCUUGGCUCGUGCAUCGAUGAAGAACGCAGCCAGCUGCGAUACGUAAUGUGAAUUGCAGAAUUCAGUGAAUCAUCGAAUCUUUGAACGCAAAUUGCGCUCUUGGGUACCCCCGGGAGCAUGUCUGCCUGAGUGUCAUUUAAACCUAUACUCGACCAAGUGUUUCGGCACUGCUGGGUCGGCGGUGAGGUCCUUUGCCCGAGGAGACUUGGGUGGAGCGCCUUCAAAGAUCGCGACGCGCCGCCGGAUCAAUCGUUGUCUCUGUGCGACGGUUGCGGCUCGACUUGCUUUGCCUCCCGACAGCUCGUCUGUUGUGCUGGUGUGGUAGUAUUAUUGAGGUGUGCUCGCACGCUUUGAUUUAUUUUAAUCACCUGCAGUUUGGAAGCAAUGAUAUGCGAGGGAGCUAUUAUCCGAUGGUGAGCGUCUUAAUCUAAACAAUUUAUACCAUGACCUCAGAUCAGUCAAGACUACCCGCUGAAUUUAGCAUAUCAAUAAAGCGAGGA
rnacentral:rRNA from 1 species